GUGGUACAUACAUAAGAUCAGUCCAAUGCGUUUUCUGUCGCUCGAGGAGUCGUCUCCGGAGAAAUAUGUGUAAAUUAUGUUUAUUUCGGCGGAUACUAAAUUAUAUGGAUGCCUAUAUACGUUGUUCACUACACUGGUGGUCAUCAUUGGGUUUUUUUUUUUAUAUACCAAACUGACAACCUAUUUACUACAACUAUACAAUCCAAUGUGUGAAUAAAAAUUAAUGACAAACACAAAACGCCAAUCAAAUUGAUAAAAACCACAAUGAAAGUUAUUGUUGUAAACAAGUUUUUUUUUUUAAUGUCAAAUGUACAAUUUACAAAUGCAUGCAUUUUAGUGACAGUAUUUUUA